rnacentral:rRNA from 1 species
CGGGGGGUCCAAACGUUGCCCGGAAUCACUGGGCGUAAAGAGCAUGUAGGUGGCUUGGUAAGUGUACGAUUAAAGACCGACGCCUAACGUCGGGAGUGUUGUACAUACUGCCUGGCUUGAGUCUAUCAGGGGCAAGCGGAACUUUGGGUGUAGGGGUGAAAUCCGUAGAUAUCCAAAGGAACACCAAUGGCGAAGGCAGCUUGCUAGGGUAGUUCUGACACUGAGAUGCGAAAGCGUGGGGAGCGAACAGGAUUAGAUACCCUGGUAGUCCACGCCCUAAACGAUGUCAACUGGUUGUUGGGUCUUUACUGACUCAGUAACGAAGCUAACGCGUGAAGUUGACCGCCUGGGGAGUACGGCCGCAAGGUUG